rnacentral:rRNA from 1 species
GACGAACGCUGGCGGCGUGCUUAACACAUGCAAGUCGAACGUGAUUUUUGUGGAAAUUCUUUCGUGAAUGGAAAUGAAAUGAAAGUGGCGAACGGGUGAGUAACACGUGAGCAACCUACCUUACACAGGGGGAUAGCCGUUGGAAACGACGAUUAAUACCGCAUGAGACCACAGAAUCGCAUGAUAUAGGGGUCAAAGAUUUAUCGGUGUAAGAAGGGCUCGCGUCUGAUUAGCUAGUUGGAAGGGUAAAGGCCUACCAAGGCGACGAUCAGUAGCCGGUCUGAGAGGAUGAACGGCCACAUUGGAACUGAGACACGGUCCAAACUCCUACGGGAGGCAGCAGUGGGGAAUAUUGCACAAUGGGGGGAACCCUGAUGCAGCGACGCCGCGUGAGCGAAGAAGGUUUUCGAAUCGUAAAGCUCUGUCCUAUGAGAAGAUAAUGACGGUAUCAUAGGGGGAAGCCCCGGCUAAAUACGUGCCAGCAGCCGCGGUAAUACGUAUGGGGCGAGCGUUGUCCGGAAUUAUUGGGCGUAAAGGGUACGUAGGCGGUUUUUUAAGUCCGGUGUGAAAGCGUGAGGCUUAACCUCAUUAAGCACUUGAAACUGGAAGACUUGAGUGAAGGAGAGGAAAGUGGAAUUCCUAGUGUAGCGGUGAAAUGCGUAGAUAUUAGGAGGAAUACCGGUGGCGAAGGCGACUUUCUGGACUUUUACUGACGCUCAGGUACGAAAGCGUGGGGAGCAAACAGG